CUGCCUGGUAGCGGGGGAUAACUAUUGGAAACGAUAGCUAAUACCGCAUAAAAUUGAUUAUUGCAUGAUAAUUAAUUGAAAGAUGCAAUUGCAUCACUACCAGAUGGACCUGCGUUGUAUUAGCUAGUUGGUGAGGUAACGGCUCACCAAGGCGACGAUACAUAGCCGACCUGAGAGGGUGAUCGGCCACACUGGGACUGAGACACGGCCCAGACUCCUACGGGAGGCAGCAGUAGGGAAUCUUCGGCAAUGGGGGGAACCCUGACCGAGCAACGCCGCGUGAGUGAAGAAGGUUUUCGGAUCGUAAAGCUCUGUUGUAAGAGAAGAACGGGUGUGAGAGUGGAAAGUUCACACUGUGACGUAUCUACCAGAAAG
rnacentral:rRNA from 1 species